AUAUAUAUUUUGAUUUUUUGGAUUAAUUACCUGAAUAUACAACUUAAGUUUACAUAUUCUCCAUAUUUCCCUUAUUUCUUUGAAAAAUACUAAAAUCCCUAUUUUUUAAUAAGUCUAAUUUAACAGAUACAUUAUUAAAUUAGAAUCCUAAUAAAUCCUAACCAAUUAAAUCUUAUCCCUAAUUUUACUCUUUAUUUUCCCCAAAUAAAGAACCCAUUUACACCACUCCCAAAAUUAAUGCGUCAAUUUCUCAACGGUUCAUCUUCUCAAUUUUGAAAAUCAAAAUUUGUGCUCUCCAUCCGUCAACCUUCAUCUAAUCUGUCCGCCAUUUUUGUCUACUUUGUCAGCCUUUGAAAAUCAAAAUUGUGCUCUCCGUCCGUCCGUCUUCGUCUAAUCUGUCCGCCAUUUUUGUCUACUCUGUCCGCCUUAAAAAAUAAAAUCGCCAAUUUCGUGUACUCUGUCCGCCAUUUUCGUCCAAUAUUCUUGAAAGGUAUUGUGUUCUUCUUCGAUUCUCUCUUUUCAUUCUUCUAUUUUUCUAAUAUUUCAUGGAUCAUCUGUCAUUUAGUAUUGAGAUUACUCAAAUAAUCACUUCAAACUCUAAACAAAUCUAUAUUUUUGAAGAUCCGAAAUUGGUUGAAAACAAGUCUAAGAGCUUGCAUAAUUGGUUUGCAUUGUGUUGUUACAAUUAUGUAUCAAGCACAAUUUAUGUUUCAUGUAUCAUGUUAAAGUUUGUCGUUUAUAUAAAGUAUCAAGUAGACAGACUUAUAACUAUAGUUACACGUAUGUAUCAAGUACAACUUUGCAUUUUUUGUAUCAUGUUAGUAUCAAGUAGACAGACUUAUAACUGUAGUUACACUUAUGUAUCAAGUACAACUUUGCAUUUUUUGUAUCAUGUUAGGCUAUAAAGUGUCUGUUAAGUAUCAUUUUGACUGACGUAUGAUAUGUUGUUAGAAUUAUGUAUCAAGUUUAUUUUUGCAUUUUAUGUAUCAUAUUAACAACUUUGCAUUUUUUGUAUCAUGUUAGUAUCAAGUAGACAAACUUAUAAUUGUAGUUACCUUUAUGUAUCAAGUACAACUUUGCAUUUUUUGUAUCAUGUUAGGCUAUAAAGUGUCUGUUAAGUAUCAUUUUGACUGACUUAUGAUAUGUUGUUAGAACAGAUUGGGCAGCAUUAGAUGCAUAUAAAGACAAGAAAACUGGAGAACUUUUGGGUCCACAACAUUCGUUUAAUGUGGAGUUUGCUCAAGACAACAUGCAACAAAUAAGUGAUAGCCUUGAUUGCGGACUAUUCGUAGUUGUAUAUGCAGAAUUCUGAGUGACAAAAUCAACAUGUCAUGUAAUAGUUUUAAGAGUAGCUAUCUUCGCAAAAGAUAUGCGAUUCUUUUAUUGAAGUAUGGUCUCGACAAGAUGAAUGCUGGAUAUGUUAGCAACAGUGAUGACCCUUCAAGAAUGAAGAAUGUAUUAAACCCAUCAUCUGAAGAUGAAAUUGUUAAUGUAGGCUAGUUAGUUUUCAAUGUUUGAUUUUUUUUUUGUUUUUUGGAGUUAAACAAGAUGUUUGAAGUAUUUAUUAACAUAACAACACAUAUUGUUAAAUUAUGAAAGUGUUUUGAUUUUUAAAAUUAUUUAUUCUAUUACUUUAAUUUUAUUUUUAUUACCGUUAUGAAUUCAGGAAUUAUGUAUAUUGUUAUUGGGACAUGAAUGUCAUUAUUGUAUCAAAACUAUAAUAAUAAUUACAUUAAUGUAAUUAUUGUCAUAAAAAACACUUAUUAUAUAUACGUAAAUAUAUUGCAUGAUACAAAAAAAGAAAAUUAUAUACGUAAUUAUAUUUUGUAUAUGAUACAUGAAAUAUCAAAAUAUAUAAUAUCACAAACAGUGAUACUAGUUAUUACACUAGAUACACGCCAGUUUUUUUUUUUUUAAAAAUUAAUAUCUUUUGUACAAAUAAGAUAUAUUCAGUACUAUGAUUUAUAUAUAUUACGAACAAUUAUUUGUCCUUCAAAAUAUGAAAUUUUUUUAAGUAUCUACACACAUGAUACUAUAUUACUAAAUUGAAUUAAAUUAGAACU